GACGAACGCUGGCGGCGUGCUUAACACAUGCAAGUCGAGCGGAAAGGCCUCUUCGGGGGUACUCGAGCGGCGAACGGGUGAGUAACACGUGAGUAAUCUGCCUCUGGCUUCGGGAUAGCCACCGGAAACGGUGAUUAAUACCGGAUACGACACAUCACUGCAUGGUGCGUGUGUGGAAAGUUUUUUCGGCCAGGGAUGUGCUCGCGGCCUAUCAGCUUGUUGGUGGGGUAAUGGCCGACCAAGGCGUCGCCGGGUAGCCGGCCUGAGAGGGUGACCGGCCACACUGGGACUGAGACACGGCCCAGACUCCUACGGGAGGCAGCAGUGGGGAAUAUUGGACAAUGGGCGGAAGCCUGAUCCAGCAACGCCGCGUGAGGGAUGACGGCCUUCGGGUUGUAAACCUCUUUCAGCACAGACGAAGCGCAAGUGACGGUAUGUGCAGAAGAAGGACCGGCCAACUACGUGCCAGCAGCCGCCGUAACAC
rnacentral:rRNA from 1 species